rnacentral:rRNA from 1 species
AAGACCUUGCGCUUUUGGAGCGGCCGAUGUCUGAUUAGCUAGUUGGUAGGGUAGUGGCCUACCAAAGCUUCGAUCAGUAGCUGGUCUGAGAGGACGACCAGCCACACUGGGACUGAGACACGGCCCAGACUCCUACGGGAGGCAGCAGUGGGGAAUUUUGGACAAUGGGCGCAAGCCUGAUCCAGCCAUGCCGCGUGAGUGAAGAAGGCCUUCGGGUUGUAAAGCUCUUUCAGCCGGGAAGAAAAGGCUACGACGAAUAAUCGUAGCUCAUGACGGUACCGGAAGAAGAAGCACCGGCUAACUACGUGCCAGCAGCCGCGGUAAUACGUAGGGUGCGAGCGUUAAUCGGAAUUACUGGGCGUAAAGGGUGCGCAGGCGGUUUUGUAAGUCAGAUGUGAAAUCCCCGGGCUUAACCUGGGAACU